rnacentral:misc_RNA from 1 species
AUGAAGCUUCAUUUUAUGAAUUAAUCUAAAAGCCAAUCUUACAUUGUUCUCGGUAGUCAUCAAUUGAGCAACACAUCAUCUAGAAUUCAAACGAAUUCCAAAUUAUUUGUUCUAAACAAUAACAUAAUGUACAGGCAUUUCGCUAAUAUUUGCUUGCUAUUCACAUGAAAAAUCAGGACACAUGCUACAUGGAUAUAUACAGAAACUUCCAAGCACCAUGUCAAGCAAAAAAAAAAAAAAAAA